rnacentral:rRNA from 1 species
CGGACUGCAGUCUGCAACUCGACUGCACGAAGUCGGAAUUGCUAGUAAUCGCGGAUCAGCAUGCCGCGGUGAAUACGUUCCCGGGCCUUGUACACACCGCCCGUCACACCAUGAGAGUCGGGAACACCCGAAGUCGGUAGUCUAACCUCGUGAGGACGCCGCCGAAGGUGGGCUUGAUAAUUGGGGUGAAGUCGUAACAAGGUAUC